GAGGGGGGUUCGCUAGCCCUGAAGACUGCUAAUCUUCACCCCCUCGGUUGAACUCCGAGGCUCCCUCG
rnacentral:tRNA from 1 species